GUGCUUGCUUCGGCAACACAUAUACUAAAAUUGGAAUGAUAUAGAGAAGAUAAGCACGGCCCUUAUGCAAGGAUGACACAUAAAUUUGUGAAGCAUUCCAUAUUUUU